GGAGGUGCGCAGCAUCCCCGACCCGCCUCCUCCUCCGCCCCCUCGGAACCGGGGCUGGGGUUGGAAAGGAUUGGGUGGGAGGAAUAGUAAAGCGGAGGGGUGUUUGAUAAGGGUCACCUUGAGGAUGCUUCAGAGGAGCUUGGGUUAGCUCAUUCAGUGCUGCUUUGUACCUAGAAGAGGCUUCUUUUGCCAACUGGGUCAAUCCUUGGCUGAGACUUCCCCUGCCCUUCACCUCCUCUUGAUAUGACUGCAUUGCACAGUACCUAAAAGCCAUGAAACUAGAGGAGCAAUAAAUGAAAGAAGAUAUUGAUGCACAUUAUCAAUCUCGCCAAUAUGAGAGAGGCGGAUCUUUCUAUCCCUGCAAAAUAUUUCUCUUUUUUAAUAACAUAUCACAUUCCCCCUACACACUCUUUAAUCAGCAUAUUUCCAUGUUAACUGCCAAGAUGAGGCAGUCUGGGGAAAAUGCUGAGCUGCAUCAGGAUAAAGUUGUCCAAAGGAUGGAGAGAAGAAAAGUGGAUGCACCAUCCUUGAAGACAUUCAAGGUCAGGCUGGACUGGGCUCUGAACAACUUGUUCUUGAUGUAGGUGUCCCUGUUCAUUGCAGGGGAUUUGGAUUAGAUGAUGUUUAAGGGUUCGUUUCAACUCAAACAAUUAUAUGAUUCUGUGACUCUUGUUUACUGCAUGAGAAGCAAUAAUACACUGAAAAAAUACCCUAUGGGGCACGUUGUUCUGGGGUAACUGGGAGACUGGCAAUGUCACAAAGUCUGUUGGGUCUCCAUUUUGGAUGAGUACAGUGGCAAGAAUAUCCAGGAGCAAAGCUCCCUUGGCAGUGACUUAAAAGGACUUCAGGAGCUGCAGGAAAGCAGAAUGUUCUGAAAGCUUCUGGCUGCAGUAAGAGCUGGCACAUUAAGAUCUGCUUAAAUAUCAGGCUGCCUUCAACAGCCGUUGUACUUAAGCUUAUGGUUGUUUUGAGAGUUAAAGGAAAAUAAAUGGAACAGGUUGCCCAGAGAAGUUGUGAAUGCUCUAUCCCUGGAGGUGUUCAGGGCCAGGUUGGAUGAGACUCUGGGCAACCUGGUCUAGUGGUUGGCAACUGGGCCUGGGGAGGGGGGUUCAACUUCAUAAUCUUUGGGGUCCCUUCCAACCCAGGCCAUCCUAUGAUUCUAUGAUAAAUCCAUCUGGUUGGUCCCAUCAGCAGAUCUGAGCUUUGCAGGUCCUUUGGCUUUGUGCAGCAAUGAAGGAUCAUUUCUCCCCAAGCAUUUAAUAUAUAUAAAUUACUGAUCUGGACUGUAGAAUUCCUCUCAAAUUGUCAGAAGAAGGUGCCCUGCAACUUAUGCUGCAACAGCGGUAUGAACUCUGCUUCUUGGGAACUCAAUGUAGAAACACCUCCUUUGUAAAGAGAGUAAAGGAAGGAGCUGCUCUGUUUCUGCUGCUUGGCAGCAGGGUGCAGGGACCUGCCUGCAGCAUCUCAGGUCUGCAUCUUGCCUCUGCUGCAAGGGAUAAUUACCAAGAAAGUGUCAGAUCAAGGCUAUGAAUCAUGAGUAGCUGAAGGAAGAAAGAAAGGGAUAUUUAGCACGACUGCUUCCAAAUCUAGAUAUCUGUUAGAAGGUGCCUAGGGAUCACAGGGGAGAAAAAAGUCAGAAAAAGACCUGAGCUGUGGACCUGAACACUUCACAGGGUGUCAGAAAAUCACUGGUGCUUCACAGAUACACAAAACCAGUCUUUUACAGUCAAAUACAUACAGCAUUGCUAGGAGGGAGCUUGAUUGCAAGCCUCCCUGUUAUCCAAAAUACCAGCAUCUAAGGGUCAGGAAAUUGCACCAGAGCUUUUAGUUUCAGUUCUGAACAAAAAAAGACAUGCCUUGCAAAGAAACCUUUUGGAAAAUAAUCUAUGUGUUGACCUGAGAAACAGCAACUGAAAAGAUAACAGUUUACCCUCAUUUUUAUUAUUAACCAUUCUCAUGGACCUAA